AGCUACGCCAUGGACGGCUGGGGACGAAAUGUGCUGUUUCCGAGGAGAGGACAGCUGGGUGCUCCUUUUUUUUUUUUUUUUUUUUUUGAAUCUCAUAUCCAGUGUUUCUCUUCACAGGUUUUGCAAACUAGGGACCAAGAAGCCCUCAGGGACUCUGCCGGGAGAAAGGACGGCUCGAGGGAAGAGCGGCUGGAGAUGCAUAAAUGUUUUAGGGAUCGUGGAAUCUAGUGCGGAAGGAAGUAGUCAACAGCAGACAUGUUCAACUGGGCGCUAUGGUAAGUCUGAAUAUGAAGAGUGAAACAUUGUACAUGUUCAGGGAAAGAAAACUGUUUGCAGGGUCUGUCCAAACUUCACUUUAGUGGAAAUUCCAUCCUUAUUUAUGACUUCAGGCAGUGAAUGAUUGAUCAGCUAGGCUAGGUGCUGAGCCAAAAGAAUUUUUGUAGCCCUCUAAGAGAAAGGAAAUUCUGAGCUGAGGCCUCAUCGCCAUCACUUCACAGUCUGCCUAAAUUCUCAAAACAAUUAAAAAAAAAGAACAUAACAUAGAUCUCAAAAUCAAAGAAAGUUUGUUUGUACUGAGACAAAGUGUCUGAUUGUUCUCCUGCAAUUAGUUAACAGGCUUACCCUCCUUCCUAGUUGCCACUGAGCCUUUGGCUUGGAAAAUGCACUUAUGUUUUUAAAAGGCCAAAAUAUACUAUCUCCCCCCACCUUUUGCCUAUGGACCACCCAAGUAUUUUACUCUAUGGGGAAGAGAAAGCUUAGGCAUAAAAAAAAAAUACUAAGAAAAGAAUGUGUUCCCUUUUUUUUUCUCUCUCUCUCUUGAUUGGAGUGUUAAACUGAUAUGGGAAAUAAAAAGAAACUACAAGUUGUUUAAAAAGUCAUCGCCCACGAAUGUCCAUUGUCAUUACAGGAAGCUGAGACUCCCAGCGACUCUGUAAGGGAGCCGCUCUUUAAAAUCAACCUUUUGUCUUAUCUCAGGAUAAUAGCCCACCCAUCACCAUGCUGUCCAAAUAAUAACUGUGAGGCCAUCACAUAGAGAUCCCAGCUUAGGAUAACUGGGAGAACAGAGUUUAACCUGCGGCAGAGGAAACCCUCACUGAGGACUGAAGCUUUCAUAUUCCAAAUCUGUUUUGUACUUUGGUGUCCUGUGGAUUAUGUAGAUGCAAAUAUUUAGCCUCUUUUCAAAGGACUUUUAUUGAGAUUUUUUUAUCAGCUGUAAGUUAAUGAAAAUAAUGAAACCUUUAUUUUGUAUCUCCUGACUUAUCAUGCUAGCCAGUUUACUACAGUUGCUGUGGGUCAAUUUUACUGCUGGAGAUUUAGAAGAUAAUUCUUUUCCUACGUUUCUGUCUUGAGACACGGCAUAUCCAACAAAUUAAGCAUCACAUGCUAUGACAAUUACAUAAUAGUGUUUUUCAUAUUUUAGACUAAGACUUUAAAUAGUAAUCAAGUAAGUAUGGCUUGGGACACAGGGUGGGAGAAGGCUUCCUCUCUUUGAUUUUUUUUUUAAAUAAGCACAGAGCGGGUUCAACAUAGUUAUAAAUUAUGUUUGUGCCAUAUACUUACUAUAGCCAAUUUUUAAUCUAUUAAAAAUAAAUUGUUCCCAAAACUCAUAAAUAAAAUAAGCAUUCCCUCCCUUUAUUUUUAUUUAUUUUUCUCUGCAGAGAAACUAUCAUGAUAGUUCAAGCUCGAAUGUUUUGGAUAGCAUGAGAUAAAUAAAACUGCUUCAUAUGAAAGGAUAACACCUGGACUCACAUUUCUUUUUGCUUUUUCAGGUUAUGUGCAUCAGUCCUUUAACUGAACAGAGUAAACUGGAUCAGAUUAUUUGUGGGCGAGGGGAAAGCGAUACAGAAUUAUAGUAACUUUUAAUUGCUACGUACAUUCUUUGUAAGUGAAUCACUUUAUAAUGAUUUCUUAUUGUGCUCAAUGAAACAACAAACCAAAUAGUAUUUCAAGGUAUUCCAUUUUUUGCAUACUUGACUUUGUAAUGACUUGAAUAGCAGCCAAGCCCUUGUGCUGGACUCAAGUGUUAGGCAGAAACACACAUUAUUUCCUUGAAAUUAAAUAAGUCCAGAUACAAUUGCCCUCAUCAACAUUUAACUCUGUUAAAAUGAUACCAUCUCCAGACACUGAACAGAAAUUUAGAUCUGCAGUAAACUCUUUUUUUCUCAUCGUCGGAAAAGUAUUUUACUGUCCAUGAAACUUCUAUUUGCUUUCUUUUUUCUUUUUAGAAUUUCCAGAUAAAGGUAAAUAAUGAAGUAUUUAUUUUCCUUGAAAGUAAUCUCUAAUGUACACUUCUUAGUUAAUAACCCCCUUUUUUUUUUUUUUUUAAAUUCCACUUUCUUAGACUUUCAACUCUUUGGCUCUUUUGUGUUUAAAAUGGCAGGGAAGUUGUUAAAUAUCUUUACAUAUGCCAAUUAACAAAGUUUAUUAAAGUAGCCAGAAUUCUUGAUGCAGUGGGACUGCAGUUUACAUUUGUAUGCUUAACACCGAUUUAGAUUUUCAUUUUGGUAUGAAGUGAACUUUGUCUGUGUUUAAGUUUCUCCUCUAAAGUGGUAUUGUAUUAACAUUGUCAAGAACACAUUCUGAGCACUCCUGUGGGUAACGACAUUCUAGAGUAUGCUUUGAUUCAUGGAAUCACCCUGCCUGUUAAUCAAAAGGAAUAUAAGCUCAUAAGCUGUUUGGCUUUCAUAUGGCUACUACAAAAGGAAAAUAAAAUUUUAAAUAAAUUCCUGUUGCUUGGAGAGAUAUAUUUAUCUCCAAAGUCUCUUUCUUGGCUGUGUUGCCAAACGCAUUAGGCUCAUUAGUGAUUUGAAAAUGGCUGCUGUUACCAUGUGAAUGACAAUGUUCUUUUUCAUGGGCAAGGCUGUGGUACUUAUCUACCCUGAGAAACAUGUAUAAACACAGACUUUAUCUUUUACUUCACUAGUAAGAGAUGCAGAGAUUUUGUCAAGAGGAAAAACAUCUGGUUCCAUUACUCUGAACUCUGACUGCAUAAGGGCCAGUAACAAUAGGAAUUGGAUUUUUUUUAAUGUUAUUAUUUUUUUCCCUUAAAAUCAUGUGAGUUUUCUGUUUUUGACAACCAUCCUUGUUAGCAUAUUUGGAUCAAAUGUACGAGUCUACUUUCUGAAUAAAGUCAAAAUCUAACUUCUUUUUAGUUCCUAAUGUUUUAAUGUUUAAUUCUGUUGUGUGUUUUUCUCCUUUCCCCUUAUCUCCCAAAACCCACCAAAUCUGGAAAACAGGCUGAUUGUAUCUGUCCAUGAGCAAAGGACACCUGAAGGACUCCAGGGCCUGGCUGGACAGAGUUGUCAUGUGUCUGCCUGUCUACACUUGCUGUGCAGAACAUCCGCUCACCUGUACAGCAGGCACAGACAGGCAGUCACAUGACAACCCAGCCUGAAUGACAACCAGCCAUUGAAAGAGAGCAGCCCUCACACCAUAGCAUCUACACCAAGAGCUACAGCCACAGUGGGGGGCUUGGGGGCCUGGGGUUUUAAACUGUUGGCUUAUUAAAAACUCGUAUGUAAUCCUUUUAUUUUGAUUCGCAUAUUAAAACCCGCCACCCAAAGUGAAGUGAGUGGUGCCUAUGAAACAUAAUAAAACCCAUUUCUGAAAAUGA